ACGAACGCUGGCGGCAUGCCUAACACAUGCACGUCGAACGAGACCUUCGGGUCUAGUGGCGCACGGGUGCGUAACGCGUGGGAACCUGCCCUUAGGUUCGGAAUAACUCCCCGAAAGGGGUGCUAGUACCGGAUAAUGUCUUCGGACCAAAGAUUUAUCGCCUUUGGAUGGGCCCGCGUUGGAUUAGCUAGUUGGUAGGGUAAAAGCCUACCAAGGCGACGAUCCAUAGCUGGUCUGAGAGGAUGAUCAGCCACACUGGGACUGAGACACGGCCCAGACUCCUACGGGAGGCAGCAGUGGGGAAUAUUGGAUAAUGGGCGAAAGCCUGAUCCAGCAAUGCCGCGUGAGUGAUGAAGGCCUUAGGGUUGUAAAGCUCUUUUACCCGGGAUGAUAAUGACAGUACCGGGAGAAUAAGCUCCGGCUAACUCCGUG
rnacentral:rRNA from 1 species